rnacentral:misc_RNA from 1 species
UGUUAUACUAUCCCUAGUUAGAUUUCUCCAGUUAUGGAGAUAGAAGGUUUCAGACUUUAGGACAGAAUGGAACCAUUCGAUACAGGCAUUAUCUGCUG